rnacentral:misc_RNA from 1 species
GAUGAAGAACGUAGCGAAAUGCGAUAAGUAAUGUGAAUUGCAGAAUUCAGUGAAUCAUCGAAUCUUUGAACGCACAUUGCGCCCGCCAGUAUUCUGGCGGGCAUGCCUGUUCGAGCGUCAUUUCAACCAUCAAGCCCCAGGCUUGUGUUGGGGACCUGCGGCUGCCGCAGGCCCUGAAAACCAGUGGCGGGCUCGGUGUCACACCGGGCGUAGUAGAUUUUAUCUCGCUCAGGGCGUGCUGCGGGUUCCGGCCGUUAAAAAGCCUUUUUUACCCAAGGUUGACCUCGGAUCAGGUAGGAAGACCCGCUGAACUUAAGCAUAUCAAUAAGCGAGGA